ACACACAAAAACAACACCACAAACAGUAACCAUCCCUCUCUCUCCACGGCUACCCCUUCUUCCCUCUCUCCACUACCAUUCACAAAAACAACAAGAUAAACCAACUCUCCAAUCCAUCUCUCUCCCUCGCUACUGUUACAACAAAACUCCAAACAACUUUCAUAACAACACAAACUCCCUCCUCUCUUCAAACAACAACUAUCCCUUUCCCUCUCGUCUCUGCUAG